AUACUUACUGGGCAGGGGAGAUACCAUGAUCACAAAGGUGGUUUUCCCAGGGUGAGGCUUAUUCAUUGCACUCUGGGUGUGCUGAUCCCCGUGAUUUCCCUAAAUGUGGGAAAUUCAACUGUAUAAGUUGUGGUAGAAGAGGACUAUGUUCAUGCUGAGCCCUGA